GUGCCUAGCCAAUCGAAAGCCACGUCCUGUCGCAACAGCCAAUCGGAGAGGCCCGGAGCCUUUAAGGGCCUCCGUGGGCCGCAGCUUUGCCUCUGUCGCCGCUCGGAAGUUCUUUUGUUCGCCCUCUGUGUUGUUUCUGGCGUCUGCACCUGCUCGCGUGCCAUCCGUCGCCAUCGCCCUUUAGGCCAGUAUAGUAAUGGGUAGUAGAGAGGAGACCUGGCCUUGGCGAUGGUGGCGCGCGCUCUGGAUGACCGAUCGGAGAUCGGCGCCAGGGCCCGGGUAGGGACAGUAGUGUUGCGGACCGCGCAGGGACAGAAGAGUGAUUUCAGCCCUUGCCUCGUGCAUUCCUUUGUAGCUGGCUGGAUGCAUUUGGAGGUGGCCUGGCGCCAUGUAUGCGAUACCACACGAGCUUGACCGAGCGUGCCACGCUAUCAUAGAUUAGCGAACCAUUUGCUUCGAUGAGGUGUGAAGGGGUAGCUUUGUAGUGCACCUGCACCCUCUCCCCAAAGAAGCUUGUAAGAAAGAAACCUAUGAGAAGCAACUUGAGGCAGGUGAAUCCAAGUUCCCGGCCAGCCUGUCUCACAAACACCCAAAGAUGAAUUUCUUUUCUUGGCACGUGCUGUAAUGUAUGUUUCAGGCAUCAUGUUCUUGGUGAGUUUGGAAGAGAUGUGGCUUUGGAAGAUGACGUGAAAUACACAGGAAAGGAAAGAAGUAAAAGGAUGUUUUACUUGAGUGUGCCAUUUGAAAGUUCAUUCAGUAAUUUGAAGAUUUAUAUAAGGUAAGGGAUUUUUUUAAGUUAUUAGUCAGGAACUUCUAAGUUCCUAGGCUGUCUUCAGUUCCAAUGAUGCUUCAGCCUUUCAGGUACCUGGGAUUUCAAUGAUUGCAGGGUUGGUUUUUCCCUAGAUCCCCUCUUAUGCAUAGAAAAACCUUGAGGGGACACAAGCAGUAGGUAGGACAUUGCUAGUAUCAGUGUAGCCAAACCUUUGGCUGUGUAAGGGCUAGUAACUGUUCUGCCCUGGUGUCAUCCAUAUUGUAACUUAAGAAGUGGGGUGGGAGAGGAACACCCCAUGGAGAGGGUUUUUUUUUUAAAUGGGGGAAGGAGUUAAGAGAUAGGAGGAUGGGAGGUAGGCAGAGCUCUUUUAAAAGGGAGCACAGUGAAUAUGCACAGGUGGUGCUCUUAGUGGCUGUAGCUGAGGGCAUAUUCUGUCAGGACCCCAAGGAUAGGCCAGUACAGAUGCCUGAAUACUAACAAUCCAUACCUGGGCAUCUUUAUAUGUGGGAGAAAGCUUAUGUGUAACUCCUCCAAUAAGACCUCACCUCUGGUAAUUGGAUUAGGAACCAUUGCUGGAAUGGGUAUGGGUGUAGAGCUCUAGCCUCUUCAACCUCUUAGCAUUAGUUUUUGCUAAUGACCAUGCCAGACCAAAUGGACUGGUGUUUUACAAAUGGGCCUAGAGGGAGGGAGCUAGACCUGACUGCUGAAGGGGGACACUAACUUUCUUAAUGAAGAAUGCCAUUCUGUGUAAACAAGUCAGGAAUAAGCAGGUAUGACCUGACAGUUCAAAGGGGAGACAGGAACUAACACCCUUUCCUGAUAGCACUCCUGUUUGCCUGCAUCCUUAGUAUGCCAUCCUGAUUCGUUUCUUCUCACCUACAAAGCAUAAAACUCUAGGUUCUUCUCACGAUCAGUGAAUAUGUAAGAAAAUUAUGCCUUACAAAAGAGGGCACAUUGGGAGCUGGGUGAUGGUGACUCACACCUUUAAUCCCAACACUUGGGAGGAGAGGCAAGCCGAUCUCUGUGAGUUCAAGACCAGCCUGGUCUGUAAAACUAUACAAUCAAAAGGGGAGGGGGCACACUGGAGUUAGUGAGAGAGAACACUAGAAUCACUUAGGAAGCAAAACCAUAAUCUGUGAAACCUUUGUUUCUACCAGUGAUGGAAAAGUAAGAAGACCUAUACCAAACAGCCUAUAAAUGCUGCAAACCAGUCUCUUGGAGAUGCUUCCCCAAGAGCAUGUCAGUGCAAGUAAACACUUAUCAUUCAUCCUGCAGGGCUUGCUCAGACUGGUGUCUCUCUUUCCUGCUAAGGAAAGUGCUCCUCACACAAGCCUGAGGACCUGAGCUAAAAUUCCUGGGGCCCAUGAGUGGAAGAUGAGAGCGGACUCCUGAAAGUGUCUUCAAACUACACAUACACAAUAAGAAAAAUCAACAUAGUAAAGCUGAAACAUUAGAAUGCUGCUGUUUUAUUGAAAUGGAAACAUGGUACAAGUGAUUAUGGAACAAAUUCAUUCAGCACCUUCUGACAGUUUUGUACAAAACUUUACCCUCUUCUAAAAUGAGAAAGCAAUUAAAAUCUUUCAUUUUCUUUUGUAAAAGUUUAUUUCUGAUGGUAUGUUGCGCAGUUGUGAGCUGCCUGAGGUGGGUGCUGUGAGCAACAUGCUCUCACACGUACCGUGUCAUUUCUCUCCCCCAACUUUUGUGAAUUUGAAAUCAUCUGUAUUUUGGGAAAAAAGCAAAAGGGAGCUGUGCUGUAAUGUGACUGUUGCCAGUGAAAAUGAACUAAUGUCUGUUGCUACCUGGUCGAGGGCUAGCCCAGACAUAACCUGUUGAGAAGUGUCCUCGUUACAUUUCAGGAACCAUGCCAACUAGGGUGGCUGCCCAAUAAAACUGGGUAGUUUGUCUUCACAGAUCCAAUUCUACUGCUGUCUGACUGAUUCAUUUUUUUUUAGUAUACUUAAUAAACAUCAUUUUCUACUA